UGGCAAACGGGUGAGUAAUACAUAUCUAACAUGCCCCUCUGUGGGGGAUAGCCACUUGAAAAAGUGAUUAAUACCCCAUAGGAAGCUUUAUCCAUGAUUUAGCUUUUAAAGCCUUCGGGCGCUGAGGGAUUGGGAUAUGCUCUAUUAGCUAGUUGGCGGGAUAAAAGCCCACCAAGGCAAUGAUAGAUAGCUGGUCUUAGAGGAUGAACAGCCACAAUGGGAUUGAGAUACGGCCCAUAUUCCUACGGGAAGCAGCAGUAGGGAAUCUUCCACAAUGGACGAAAGUCUGAUGGAGCAAUACCAUGUGAACGAUGAAGGCCUUUUUGGUUGUAAAGUUCUUUUACGAGGGAUAAUUAUGAUAGUACUUCGUGAAUAAGUGACAGCAAACUAUGUGCCAGCAGCUGCGGUAAUACAUAGGUCGCAAGCAUUAUUCGGAUUUAUUGGGCGUAAAGCAAGCGCAGGCGGAUGUGUAAGUUCUGUGUUAAAUGCAGCUACUCAAUAGUUGUAUGCACCGAAUACUACAUGUCUAGAUUGUGGUAGGGAGUUUCGGAAUUAAGCAUGGAGCGGUGGAAUGUGUAGAUAUGCUUAAGAACACCAGAGGCGAAGGCGGAAACUUAGGCCAUAAAUGACGCUUAGGCUUGAAAGUGUGGGGAGCAAAUGGGAUUAGAUACCCCAGUAGUCCACACCGUAAACGAUGGGUAUUAGAUAUUAGGGCUUUAGCUUUAGUGUUGUAGCUUACGCGUUAAAUACCCCGCCUGGGUAGUACAUAUGCAAAUAUGAAACUCAAAGGAAUUGACGGGGACCUGAACAAGUGGUGGAGCAUGUUGCUUAAUUCGAUAAUACACGAAAAACCUUACCAAGGUUUGACAUCCCUCGCAAAGCUAUAGAAAUAUAGUAGAGGUUAUCGAGGUGACAGGUGGUGCAUGGCUGUCGUCAGCUCGUGUCUUGAGAUGUUUGGUUAAGUCCCGCAACGAGCGCAACCCCACUCUUUAGUUACUUGUCUAAAGAGACUGCACAGUAAUGUAGAGGAAGGAUGGGAUCACGUCAAGUCAUCAUGCCCCUUAUGCCUUGGGCUGCAAACGUGCUACAAUGGCGAACACAAUGUGUUGCAAACCAGCGAUGGUAAGCUAAUCACCAAAUUUCGUCUCAGUUCGGAUAGGAGGCUGCAAUUCGCCUCCUUGAAG
rnacentral:rRNA from 1 species